rnacentral:rRNA from 1 species
GCGGGAAACCGCGACGGGGUCACCCCGAGUGCCCCCGAUAAGGGGGCUGUUCCCCGCUGUAAGUAGGCGGGGGCAGUAAGCGGGGGGCAAGACCGGUGUCAGCCGCCGCGGUAAUACCGGCCCCGCGAGUGGUCAGGGUGGUUAUUGGGCCUAAAGCGCCCGUAGCCGGCCCGGUAAGUCCCCUCCUAAAUCCUCGGGCUCAACCCGAGGAGUGGAGGGGAUACUGCUGGGCUAGGGGGCGGGAGAGGCCGAGGGUACUCCCGGGGUAGGGGCGAAAUCCUCUGAUCCCGGGAGGACCACCCGUGGCGAAGGCGCUCGACUGGAACGCGCCCGACGGUGAGGGGCGAAAGCCGGGGGAGCGAACCGGAUUAGAUACCCGGGUAGUCCCGGCUGUAAACGAUGCGGGCUAGCUGUNGGGUGGGCUUAGAGCCCACCCAGUGGCGCAGGGAAGCCGUUAAGCCCGCCGCCUGGGGAGUACGGCCG